GAGGAGGAGGAGACAGGAGCUCAGUCUCUUUUCGGCCGGGAAGUUGAAUAGGCCAGAAGAGGGCACCAGACCCCACCACAGAUGGCCGUGAGCCACCACGUGGCCGCGGGGAACCGAACCCAUGACCCUCGGAAGAGCAGGCAACGCCCUCAACCCCCGAGCCAUCUCUCCAGCCCUUAGACAUGUCUGCUCCUGGCAGCACCAAUCUACUUCAGAGAAGAUGAUGGGCACUGAAGAGACUCCACAUGUGUGAUGAGCCCACAAGGAUUAAUACAGUAGAUGUACAGCUGACCAAUAUGUUGGACUACCCACGGAAAGUGUAUACGGACACUCCACCUGGAGUAACCCACUUAGAGAUAUAGGGACACUUGUCCUUUGGAUAAGUCACUGUCAGUUCUGUAGAAAUCUUGUGAAAUCAUGGCUUUUCUCCAUUCUAUAGUAUCCCAGCAGUGUAUAAACCUGACUUUUCCUGUAGAACAACGGGAUACCAACCCCGAAACACACCAUGAAGCCAUGGCAUGAAAAGGAUUCAGUCAAGUCAGUCAAGUCCUUGUUCUCAUAGCCAAAAUCUACAUAAAAAUAGUCCCCCACAAACUUUAUUGAUAGUCACUGAUAAGAAAGGAGCCUCAUACAGGAGGCAAUAUGUCUCUCUACCAGCCGACUCAGGAAGAUGUUAUCUACUGGUCUGCUCUGACUUAACUAGCUACUAAUAUUCUGUAUUACCCUUUACCUUGGUUUCUGCCACGCCAGCACGGCAACUGUCGUUCUUCUGAGCGAAGGACGUCUGGAUUAACACGCAACACAACUUCAGGUUCUGCAGACAAGCCCUUUAUUCCACCUUCUCACAAGUAUAUAUAGCCCUCAGCAGGGGAGGCCAAACCAGCAAAAGCAGGAAGCUCAUCACCAUAACUCAAUGGCUUAGGGGUAAACAUCCUUAGAAACAUUGCUGAAAACAACAGAUUGUUCCUGUU